rnacentral:tRNA from 1 species
AGGGCUGGAGCUGAGUGGUAAAGCACUUACCUGGAAUGUGUGAGACACUGAGUUCAAUCCUCAGCACCACCU